rfam:Brevundimonas sp. Root1423 contig_3, whole genome shotgun sequence.
GCACCCGUAGCUCAGCUGGAUAGAGUACUGCCCUCCGAAGGCAGGGGUCAGAGGUUCGAAUCCUCUCGGGUGCG